GAUGAACGCUGGCGGCGUGCCUAAUACAUGCAAGUCGAGCGAACAGAAGAGGAGCUUGCUCCUCUGACGUUAGCGGCGGACGGGUGAGUAACACGUGGAUAACCUACCUAUGAGACUGGGAUGACUUCGGGAAACCGGAGCUAAUACCGGAUAAUAUAUUAAACCGCAUGGAUCAAUAGUGAAAGGCGGUUUUGCUGUCACUUAUCGAUGGAUCCGCGCCGCAUUAGAUAGUUGGUAAGGUAACGGCUUACCAAGGCAACGAUGCGUGGCCGACCUGAGAAGGGGAGCGGCCACCCUAGACCUGUGACACGGCCCAGACCCCUCUGCUACGCAGCAGUGCGGUAUGGUACGCAAGGCGAGAAAGCCUAACGGAGUACCGCCGCGCGAGUUAUGAAGGUACUGGGAUAGGAAAUCUAUGCUACUAUUGAACGAGAAAUGUGUCAGUAACGAGGAGCGUCUUGACGGUAUCUAAACAGAAAGCAACGGCUAACUCCGUG
rnacentral:rRNA from 1 species